CUGGCUUCAGCACAGAUAUACUAUAAUUGAAAAGAUACAGAGAAGACAGCGUCACCCCUGGGAAAGGAUGACAUGCAGACUUAGGUAGCAUUCCAAAUUUUU